rnacentral:pre_miRNA from 1 species
UUAGUACUUCCUCCGUUUCAUAAUUCUUGUCGAAAUAUUACAUGUAUCUAGACGCUUUUUAGGAAUAGAUACAUCUAUUUUUAGACAAAUUUGAGACAAGAAUUAUGGAACGGAGGGAGUACGGA